rnacentral:rRNA from 1 species
AGUGAACGCUGGCGGUAGGCCUAACACAUGCAAGUCGAACGGCAGCACAGUAAGAGCUUGCUCUUACGGGUGGCGAGUGGCGGACGGGUGAGGAAUACAUCGGAAUCUACUUUUUCGUGGGGGAUAACGUAGGGAAACUUACGCUAAUACCGCAUACGACCUACGGGUGAAAGCAGGGGAUCUUCGGACCUUGCGCGAUUGAAUGAGCCGAUGUCGGAUUAGCUAGUUGGCGGGGUAAAGGCCCACCAAGGCGACGAUCCGUAGCUGGUCUGAGGAUGAUCAGCCACACUGGAACUGAGACACGGUCCAGACUCCUACGGGAGGCAGCAGUGGGGAAUAUUGGACAAUGGGCGCAAGCCUGAUCCAGCCAUACCGCGUGGGUGAAGAAGGCCUUCGGGUUGUAAAGCCCUUCUGUUGGGAAAGAAAAGCAGCAGGUUAAUACCCCGCUGUUCUGACGGUACCCAAAGAAUAAGCACCGGCUAACUUCGUG